rnacentral:rRNA from 1 species
GACGGAGGAGGCAAGCAUUGUCCGGAAUUAUUGGGCGUAAAGAACACGUAGGCGGUUUAUCAAGUCAUAAGUGAAAACCUUGGGCUUAACUUAAGGAUUGCAUAUGAUACUGGUAAGCUUGAGUACAGUAGAGGAAAGCGGAAUUCCUGGUGUAGCGGUGAAAUGCGCAGAUAUCAGGAAGAACACCAGUGGCGAAAAGCGGCUUUCUGGACUGUUACUGACGCUGAGGUGUGAAAGCUAGGGUAGCGAACAGGAUUAGAUACCCGCGUA